rnacentral:lncRNA from 1 species
UUAUUUUCAAAUAAAUGUUAGAAUUGAUAUCAAAGUAAUUUUAACAAAUUAUAGAUUAAUUUGAUUUUAAUUGGUUUUAUUGGUUUUUUGAUUUUAAAUUGACAUUUAGAUGAGUUUUAGAUUAUUUCAAAAAAAUCCAUAUCCAUUUCUAUAACCACAAAUUCAUUUCAUUCAAACCAAAUUCCAUGAAUAAUUUCAAACCAAGUUACAAUUUCACUUCCAAUUCAUU